rnacentral:rRNA from 1 species
AGUGAACGCUGGCGGUAGGCCUAACACAUGCAAGUCGAACGGCAGCACAGUAAGAGCUUGCUCUUACGGGUGGCGAGUGGCGGACGGGUGAGGAAUACAUCGGAAUCUACUUUUUCGUGGGGGAUAACGUAGGGAAACUUACGCUAAUACCGCAUACGACCUACGGGUGAAAGCAGGGGAUCUUCGCACCUUGCGCGACUGAAUGAGCCGAUGUCGGAUUAGCUAGUUGGCGGGGUAAAGGCCCACCAAGGCGACGAUCCGUAGCUGGUCUGAGAGGAUGAUCAGCCACACUGGAACUGAGACACGGUCCAGACUCCUACGGGAGGCAGCAGUGGGGAAUAUUGGACAAAGGGCGCAAGCCUGAUCCAGCCAUACCGCGUGGGUGAAGAAGGCCUUCGGGUUGUAAAGCCCUUUUGUUGGGAAAGAAAAGCAGCAGGUUAAUACCCCGCUGUUCUGACGGUACCCAAAGAAUAAGCACCGGCUAACUUCGUG